rnacentral:rRNA from 1 species
GACGAACGCUGGCGGCGUGCCUAAUACAUGCAAGUAGGACGCAGUUGCGAACGGGUGAGUAACGCGUAGGUAACUACCUAUUAGAGGGGGAUAACUAUUGGAAACGAUAGCUAAUACCGCAUUCUAGUAGAUGGACCUGCGUUGUCUUAGCUAGUAGGUAGGGUAAUGGCCUACCCAGGCAACGAUACAAAGCCGACAAGAGAGGUGGAUCAGCCACAAGAGGACUGAAAAACGGACCAGACUCCUACGGGAGGCAGCAGUAGGGAAGCUGCGGAAAUGGGGGGAAACCUUGCCGAGCAACGCCGCGUGAGUGAAGAAGGUUUUCGGAUCGUAAAGCUCUGUUGUUAAGGAAACGGUACUUAACCAGAAAGGGACGGCUAACUACGUGCCAGCAGCCGCGGUAAUAC